rnacentral:antisense_RNA from 1 species
GUGGCGGUGUGGUCCCACCUCGCGUCGGCGUCCAGCAGGGCGUGCUCGCCGAACCGGUCGCCGUCGGCCAGUACGGCGAGUUCGACCUCGUCACCGUACUUGCCCACAGCCGUCUGGCCGACGCGGCCGUGGGCGAUCAGGUGGAUCUGCCCCGCCGGAGUGCCGCGCUCGACCAACACCUCUCCGGCACGGAAGUCACGCUGGACGCAACGGCCGGCGAGCGCGGUCAGUACGUCCACGUCGUCGAAGUCGCGCAGCAGGGCGAGUUCGCCGAGCUCGCGGGGGAUCACCCGGACGUGGGCCCCGUCCUGGACGAACUCGAUGCGCCCGUCGCCGACCGUGUAACUCAGUCGACGGUUCACCCGAUACGUGCCGCCCUUGGUCUCCACCCAGGGGAGCAUCCGCAGCAGCCACCGGGAGGUGAUCUCCUGCAUCUGAGGGGCGGACUUGGUCGUGGUGGCAAGGUUGCGGGCAGCCGCCGUGCCCAGGCUGCUCUGCCGGGGUUGCGACUG